UACAUUAUUGUGCACAAUAAUUUUCAAAUACAUAAUUAAUUUAUGUUGAUUCUGUUUUUUUAGGACAACCUGCGUAGUUAAACAGCCAAAAUGCAAAACUUAAAAUAAAAUGCACCUGGCUGGUUCCAUUUUCGUUGACAACAAAACAUAACUCUUCUUCUUUUGUUUUUUUCUUUCAUCCAUGUCAUGUGUUCAUUUGAUGAAUGAUCAUUCUCAUCAGUUGGAAGCUAUGAAUUUACAAUUCGUUUGUGGAGAGAACGCACAGACGUUUUGGAUCGAUAAUUUCCUCUAGUACUUUUUGCCUCGUAAGAACUUGGAGAUAGCGCUUGCAAUGGUGGAUAUAGUCAAGUUUCUUCAAAAAUUUUUUAUAUAAUAUUGGUUUAAAGAAGUUUUGAUCUAUGGUAUAUAACUUAGCAAGGGAAAAUGGCACGUGCGGCGAUAAGAAGUUUGAAUGAAUUUCUACCUCAACGUCUUUCAUGAAUGUAUUCUGAGAAAGAGCAUAUCUUGCUGGAAGAACAAAUGUGCUUUUCUACUUUCUUGCAUUAUCAUUGUCAUCCCUACAUUGGAAAGAAAACAAAAAAAAACAACAAAAUAUAUUCUUGAUAAAAUAGGAAAUAUCAGUGAGAAAUUGAAGAUAAUCACAACCUAUAUAUGCUGAGUGAAACAGCUAAAGGACUCAUUCAGGGCUCAUACAUGAUUACAAUGCAUUAAUUCAUACCUGAGAAAAAGCAUUGUAAAAUGGAUUGUGCUGUGUGUUACAUGUCAUCUUUGCCCAAUAAGAAUAAAAACAGAACUACCCGACAACUCUGA